CGAUGCUGCCGCAGUCACCUUUUCUGUUUCACCGGUGGUGUGUUGUACCUGAGUCCGCGGUUCUUCAGUAGAAAGCUAUCAAAAGUGAGAUACCUUCCUCCAGAUAAUGGCCUUCCAAAAAACACUUGUCGUCCUGGUGUUUCUCCUGCUGCUUGUUAACACUGAGUUUUCCAAAGCUCAAAUGACCGGACAUUUUGAACACAGAUUAAACAGUAAUGCAGAGGGAAUUUCUUCACAGGAAAAUAUGAGCGAAAGUCUGAGAAGCAGAUUCCGACGACACAACAGAUGGCGAGCUGCCCAAAAGGAACGAGCACUCCCAGCAAUGAUCCAUCGGAAGGAAUUCAGUCUGCCAGAAACUUCAGUCAGACAGACAGACUGAACGACAUACUUUAUGGAUCCCGAAGGAAAUUGGGUCUCGUUACAUUCAUACUAAGCAGGAAUUGUGUAGAAAUAUAGCAAUAUUUAACCAGAAAUAAUUAAAUAAUUAUAAAUUAUGCCAAGUAGAAAUAAUCAGUGAUUCAUAGUCACUUUAUUUGUGACAACAUUAAUUCGUCAUGAGCUAAGUACUGUCUCUGUUAUAGUCUAUUCGUUUACUCUAUUAAUAAUUCAUAUUACAUUCGACCCAUUGAGUCUGCUCUGCCACUCCACCAUGAGCUGAACUAUUCUCCCAUCUAGAUCCAAUUUUCGACUUUUUCCCCAUAUCCCUUGAUACACUGACUAAUUAGAUACCUAUCAAUCUCCUCCUUAAGCACCUUCAAUGAUUGGGCCUCCACACUGUAUGUGGCAACGAAUUCCAUAAUUCCUCCACCAUCUGGCUAAAAAUAUGUACCUUUUGCGAUAAUUUGAUGAGAAUGCCAGCAGGAUAGAUAAAGGGGAUGCAGUGUAUUUUGUAUAUCUGGGCGUUAAGAGGUCCUUUGACACAAGUGCCACACAGAAGGCUGCGCAUUUAAUUAAGAGCCCAUGGUAUUACAAGAAUGUUACUAACAUGGGUAGUACAUUGGCUGAUUGGUAGGAGGCAGCGAGUGGGAAUAAAUGGAUCCUGUUCUGGUUGGCUGCCAGUGGCUAGUGGUGAUCCGCAGGGUUCCUAUGGGGCCACUUACUUUUAUGCUGUAUAUGAUGACUUAGAUGAAGGAAUAGAUGGCUUUCCUGCCAGGUUUGCAGAUAUUAGGAAUAUUGGUGGAGGGACAUGAAAUGUUGAGGAAACAGAUAUUAUAGAAACAUAGAAACACGGAACUACUGCACAAUACAGGCCCUCCAGCCUACAAAGCUGUGCCGAACAUGUCCUUACCUUAGAAAUUUUGCAUUAUGCCGAUGACCUUUUGCUUUAUAUUCCUAAUGUUGAGACUUUAUUAGCUAUCGUACAUUCUUUUGUCUCCAGUUUUAGUCAGUAUUCAGGAUAAGAGUGAACUUAUUCUAUUGAAUCAUUUAGUAUCAAUUAAUACUAACCUUCCUUUUAAAAUUGUAAGAAAUAAACUUACUUAUUUGGAUGGAACAAUUACUAAGAACCAUAAAUAGUUAUUUAAAGAAAAUUUGG